rnacentral:snRNA from 14 species
GAACUUACCUGGCUGGGGAGUUCUUGUGAUCAUGAAGGCGCGAUCCCCAUGGUGAGGCUCGUCCACUGUACUUCGGGGAGGGUUGACCUAUGUGGCAGCUUC